rnacentral:lncRNA from 1 species
ACAGGUUUCUGACAUAUGACUUUUGCUCCCGUUUUGUAGGCUCUGAGGUGCUUUCUUACCACUAUCUCUCGAGUCCAAAACAAAGGCUACUGAUAGGGAAAAUUCAGAAGAUGCUUUGGAUAUGAGUCUCCUUGGAGAAUUCUAUGUGACAGUUUUUGAAGUUCUUCCACGAAUUAUAGUUCUAUAGUAACCAAAAUGAGCAUCCCAUAUUAAAAUUUUC